GUUUCCCAUCUGCACGGCCUGAGAGCUGGGCAGCCUCACUUCAAAGGACUGUGCGGGUCCCCCAGGUGCACCUCGACCUGCAGUCAUCCCCAGAAGGCAGGCACCAAAACCUUCCUACCUCAUCACUCUGCACUGCUGUACCUCUUCCUAGGGUGGCGGGAUAAAAGUGCAUGGGACUAGGGAGAGGGGUGGCCCCGCGGUGCCCAGGUCGAUGCACCACUGUGCUUUCCUGGGGGGGGGCUCAGGGUGCUGUUUGGCUCCCGUUCUCUCUCAAGAUCGCCGAGGACCGUCUCGUUCUACCGAGGCGUUGCAGUUACCAAGUUCGUACCAAGUUCAGUGGAAUGUAGGCAGACAGGAGGAUGAGCAAGUUCUGCGUAGAGGCUUGGAGGAGCAGCCUCUUUCUGCUCUCCUUCCUGUGUUGUGUGUGGUCCACAAUGAGAAGACCAUGCCCGUGUUGCUACUGCCUCUUCCACUUGGGCUCUUCAAUGAUAAGCAGACCUGAGAAUGAUGCUGACCCAGAACCUGAGCCCAGGAGAUUGAAUACAGCACUUCCUGAAGACAUUUUUUAUUGCCAACUUUGGACGUACUGGACCAAGGAAGUCCCAUGGUAUGGUGAAUUUCAAGGGAGGUUUGUUCUCUUUUUCUAGAAGAAGGAAAGAACAGGAUAUCCUCCUUUCAGAAACUGCACCCUAGGACUUCUCUGUCACAUCUGACCUCUGAAGGAAGAGCCUGGGUCAGCAGCCACUCUUUGAGGGGGGAGAGUUAAUCAAGAGAAUGCCUUGAACAUCUGCCAAGGCAAGGAGCACCAGAACAAGCAUGCUUUAUAGUUGUGUAGGAAUUUCUGCAUAAGAAUGGAGUUGGCUGAAUGGAGGGAUCCUUUCUGUGUGGGUUUGAACCUCAUGGAACAUCUGGUUUCUUCUGAGCACCAGAUCCUGGAUCCCUAUGCCAAGAUGGCCUGUUGCUCCUCCUUUCUCUGAAAUCUGGUCACCCAGAGAGUUCCUUCAUGAUCUCCUUGGGUUAACAUUAGAAGGAACUGGGUGAACUCUUUAUGGGAACACUCUGUACUAUCUUGGCAAUUCUCUACAAAUAUUAUAUUAUUUCAAAACAGACAGUUUUUCUGUACAGGUAAUUAUUUUUCUCUGGCUACUUUCAACAUCUUUUCUUUGUUUUAGUUUUUAGCAUUUUGAUUAUGAUAUUUCUGGGUAUGGAGUUCAUUAAGUUUAUCCUAUUUGGGAUUCAUUGAGCUUCUUGAAUCUGUAGGUUCAUCUUUCUCUGAAUUUGGGUAGCUUUCUGCUAGAACUGAUAAAGGAAUUCAGUAAAGUUGCAGGAUACAAAAUCAAUAUGCAGAAAUCUGUUGCAUUUCUAUACACCAAACGAAUGAAGUAGCAGAAAGAGAAUUAAGAAAACAAUCCCAUUUACAAUUGCACUAAAAAUAAUAAGAUACCAAAGAUAAAGCAUACAGGUGAAAAUCUAUACUCUGAGAACUAUAAAACAUGGAUGAAAGUAAUUGAAGAUGACACAAAGAAAUGGAAAGACAUUCCAGGCCCAUGAAUUAGAAGAAUGAAUGUUUGUUAAAAUGUCUA